GCGGGGCCGGGGUGCUAUACAUGCAAGUCGAGCGGACAGAUGGGAGCUUGCUCCCUGAUGUUAGCGGCGGACGGGUGAGUAACACGUGGGUAACCUGCCUGUAAGACUGGGAUAACUCCGGGAAACCGGGGCUAAUACCGGAUGGUUGUCUGAACCGCAUGGUUCAGACAUAAAAGGUGGCUUCGGCUACCACUUACAGAUGGACCCGCGGCGCAUUAGCUAGUUGGUGAGGUAACGGCUCACCAAGGCGACGAUGCGUAGCCGACCUGAGAGGGUGAUCGGCCACACUGGGACUGAGACACGGCCCAGACUCCUACGGGAGGCAGCAGUAGGGAAUCUUCCGCAAUGGACGAAAGUCUGACGGAGCAACGCCGCGUGAGUGAUGAAGGUUUUCGGAUCGUAAAGCUCUGUUGUUAGGGAAGAACAAGUGCCGUUCAAAUAGGGCGGCACCUUGACGGUACCUAACCAGAAAGCCACGGCUAACUACGUGCCAGCAGCCGCGGUAAUACGUAGGUGGCAAGCGUUGUCCGGAAUUAUUGGGCGUAAAGGGCUCGCAGGCGGUUUCUUAAGUCUGAUGUGAAAGCCCCCGGCUCAACCGGGGAGGGUCAUUGGAAACUGGGGAACUUGAGUGCAGAAGAGGAGAGUGGAAUUCCACGUGUAGCGGUGAAAUGCGUAGAGAUGUGGAGGAACACCAGUGGCGAAGGCGACUCUCUGGUCUGUAACUGACGCUGAGGAGCGAAAGCGUGGGGAGCGAACAGGAUUAGAUACCCUGGUAGUCCACGCCGUAAACGAUGAGUGCUAAGUGUUAGGGGGUUUCCGCCCCUUAGUGCUGCAGCUAACGCAUUAAGCACUCCGCCUGGGGAGUACGGUCGCAAGACUGAAACUCAAAGGAAUUGACGGGGGCCCGCACAAGCGGUGGAACAUGUGGUUUAAUUCGAAGCAACGCGAAGAACCUUACCAGGUCUUGACUCCUCUGACAUCCUAAAGAAGGACGUCCCU
rnacentral:rRNA from 1 species